UGGUAUCGCAAACAGAAUUAGCCCUGAAACUCCUUGCGAGGUCAAAGUUUAUUACGUAACAGUUAGCUUGGGUCAUCUUGGGUCGAUCUUAGUCGUACUCGAGCGCGCUAGAUUUGGCUAGAUAUAUACACUGUGUAAUUUCUCAUUCGCGGUAUACAUUACUAUGGAGGCGUUUACUCUCGAAGAAUUUGAAGCCGAAAUUGACGAAAUAGAUCUCAUAAUGGCUGAGGAAAUAGAAUCAGAGGGAGGAGGAGAUGUGUGUCUGUGUAUUUGCAAUUGUCCUUCCACAGAAGAAAUGAUUGCCUGUAUAAUGGCAAACAAUGCUCGGUCGGGUGGUUCCACACGGAAUGCGUAGGCCUAGGCCCGUCUACAAGCAAAACGGGUUGGAUGUGUGGAAACUGCUCUCCUGUCGUCAGUGCUACUGCUGAACCUACACCUACAAAGUCGGGUAGUAAAUCCACUGGAUCUAAAACAACCCUAUGCUGCAGCUCAACCCAGAUAUGGCAAAGCAAAUAAAUAGUGCAGUGAUGGAGUUGCAGGCAUCGAAAUCAGUAUUUGAAGCUACUGCCAGCACAUUGAUGACCAGCCUGUGGGAAGUUACAAGCGAAGCUGAAAAAAAGAAGACCGCAUCUGAAGGCCUGGACAAUGUAUGCAGGAACUUUCAUGUUUUUCACCUCAAUGAAAAAUCGAACAUAUUUUUAGGUCUGGGGCCUUUUUAGGGUGAACAAUAAGGUAUUUUUAUUUUUUUGACGUCUCGAGGAGGAAGCAAAGCCAAUUCUUGCAAUUUCUCAAAUCAAAAGUCUUCGUAAUGUAAAUUUAAAACAAAAACUAAGUGAAAGGCUGAACACACGAGCUAUUAAACUAGCGUGGGAGCGGCUGAUCGGCGAGACAGCCAAUGAAUCAAUUGUCUCAACUUUGUUUAGUAAAGUUAUUGCUUGCUAUAUAGACAUAAGAUGCAGAGCAUUUGUAGAUGUGUACAUAAUGGAUAGGAAGAAACGAGAUGCAUCUAUUGGAAAAAAGGGUGAAAAACCAUUAGGAAAGCAGCUCUCAAAUUAACUGUAGUACUGUAUUAUCAUGGGGGUAUCUCCAUGGUAUUAUGUAAUAAAAAAACAAGACAGUUGAGGUUGUACCUCAUUCGUGUUCACCGUUGUGAAAGAUGUAAAUACUGUAAAUGUAUAAAUUUUUUGAAAUAGUUGUGUAUUACUUUUGUUAUGUUAAGUUGCAAUAAAUAUCACAGCAAAGAAAUUAAA